ensembl:piRNA 21ur-4911 ncRNA
UAAUACUGAACUAAUUAUACA